rnacentral:rRNA from 1 species
CACGAGCGCACCCUUAUCUUCAGUUGCUACCAUUUAGUUGAGCACUCUGACGAAACCGCCUCGGAUAACGGGGAGGAAGGUGGGGAUGACGUCAAGUCCUCAUGGCCUUUAUGUCCAGGGCUACACACGUGCUACAAUGGCCGGUACAAACCGCUGCAACCCCGCGAGGGUGAGCUAAUCGGAAAAAGCCGGCCUCAGUUCGGAUUGGAGUCUGCAACUCGACUCCAUGAAGCUGGAAUCGCUAGUAAUCGUGGAUCAGCAUGCCACGGUGAAUACGUUCCCGGGCCUUGUACACACCGCCCGU